UCGGGAAUUUUGGGCAAUGGGCGAAAGCCUGACCCAGCAACGCCGCGUGAAGGAUGAAAUCCCUCGGGAUGUAAACUUCGCAAGAACGGGAAGAAUAAGUUUCAGCAAAUAUCUGAAACGAUGACGGUACCGUUUGUAAGCUCCGGCUAACUCCGUGCCAGCAGCCGCGGUAAUACGGGGGGAGCAAGCGUUGUUCGGAUUUACUGGGCGUAAAGGGCGCGUAGGCGGCCAGCGCAAGUCAGUUGUGAAAUCUCCGGGCUUAACUCGGAAAGGUCAACUGAUACUGCGCGGCUAGAGUGCGGAAGGGGCAACUGGAAUUCUUGGUGUAGCGGUGAAAUGCGUAGAUAUCAAGAGGAACACCUGCGGCGAAGGCGGGUUGCUGGGCCGACACUGACGCUGAGGCGCGAAAGCCAGGGGAGCGAACGG
rnacentral:rRNA from 1 species